rnacentral:lncRNA from 1 species
CAGCAUCUUUCGUUGGAAAUCUCAUCCCAAUACAAAGAUCACCAGUCUCUGAAUAAGUCAUAAGGCUCGGUAUUAUAUGAGCAUACUCGGGAAAUUCAUGAGCUUGCAUUGCAGGAAGAUCACGGCUAGAUCCGAUACUUGAUGACAAAUGGGGACCAGGGGCCGGAAUGAUUUCUACAUCAGAAUCUCUAUCCUCUUCAUCUUCAUCCUCGUUCUCAUACUCCUCGAACACAUAGGAUUCACCGAAUGGUACAAUGUUCAAAUCAAUAGCAGCUUCGGUUGCUACUUGGGAGCUUGAAGGUAUCUCGGC